AGGACCAAUGAGCCCCAGUGCAGUCUGACCAGCUUGUUCUGUUCUGCAUUGAGCAGCCGUUCGGGUAGUGGCCAAUGCCAGGCAAAUAACACUCGCCACUGAGAUAUAGGGAGGUGGUGUGUACUUAUUGGAUCCAUGGCCCUGCCACUCAAAUGUGGCUUUCAUAUGGCAGUACAAUCUGGACAGCAAUCUUGUUUUUGUUUCUUACUGUGGGUCUGUCCCCACUCCUGCAACAUCUCCCAUGCAAAACUGAUGGGGAACUACGAAACAAAAACAGAAAGAAACCUGGCAUCCUGCCUCCCAGCUCACAUCUGUUGCUGGCACGUGCUGUUUUUUCAGAAGUGCCAUAAUCAUCACUACCACCACCAACAGCCACUCCACUCUCCUGACAGGCAAUGCAGGAAUCUCAAGUGCCAUGCCUGUGCCAAAUCUGGAGGCCCUGGGGCUGUUUUGACGGUUCAGGCAAGAGUCAGACAUGAGCAACAGAAUCCACAAAGACCGCUCCUGAGGGCCUCAGCCUUGUCCCAGGGUGAAUUCAAGGCAGAAGACAAAGGAAGGGAAGUAAACAAGGGUGCUGUUUCCAGCUCCAGCUUAUCAUGUCGCUCUCUUCAGAGCAGGCUUUCCCCCAACCGGGGUGGGGGGGUGGGGGGGAGGCCUUAACAAAGUCAGCCACUUUCAUUUCAUGUUUUAGAGGAGAGGAGGGGAAAGCAGCAAAACAGAACAAAACAAAACACUUUAGAAAAACCCACCCCUUUCUAUUUUCCUAGUUUUGAACUUCCACUAAAAUUCCCUACCCUGAAAUGCAAGGUCCUGAUUCUCAAGAGCGCUCCUCUUGCCAGCUAACACUGAUUUUCUUCCUAGAGAGAACCUUGGAAUCCUGCCCAGCCGCUUUACCUUGUGCCCUGCAUAGAAGGCAAUUUCUUCAGAGUUGGCCACCACUCGGGAAUGCAUGUAGCGCAGCUCCCCUUUCCGGCGCGCCUCCUCAGCCACCAGUUGACCAAACUUUGGCGAACAGACACGGAGCACCUUGGCAGUGAUGCAGACCACCAGCCCAGCAAUCACUGAGGGCCAGGCUGUGCCAGCUCCUUUCGAUCUGGCUGAACUGAUCAGAGUGUAAGAGGUCACGAUGAGAUCAAGCACUGGCUUGGUCAGGUUUGAGUAGAGGUGAGCCACAGAGUUAGCGAAAGCCACCAGGUCCUCCGUUAGAGACUGGUCUGGGUUGCGCAGGCGUCCGUCCAUGUUGCUGACCCGGUAGUAGGUCUGGCCCUCAAAGUAGAGCCGAUAGCCAUGGUCCACUAAGCGUCCACGGAAGGCCAGGCUCAGCUGUCCCUCCAGAUACCGAAUGGCACUGUUGACAAAGGUGGCUGGGAGGGCAAUGAGGAGCCAUUGGAGAAGCUGCCAUGUAAAGUCAUGAGGGUUCUUGCGGACGAUGCAGCGGGCCAAACGUCCAUCCAGCUGGGCCACGUAGACGGAGAGGAACGUGCGGCUGGCUAGGGCAGCUGAGUGCAAGGCCAGGAGUCCUGUUUCCCGGCACAAGAGUCCAGGGAAGAGUAACCGCAGGAGGCGCAGGAGGCGGAAGAAGAACACCCUGUUCACACCAGGUGGUGAUGCCGUCACCUCAUCUGGUGAGCCCCACUUGGCUGGUGGCUCCCCAGGACUGGGGUUUCUGGUGGCGUUGCGGUUCACCUGGAGGUCAGAGGCAGCCCACUGCCGGAGGAUUGGGUAUAACUUCUUGGCACCGUAGGCUGCCACCAAUACUGCCACCACUGCUCUUUUUGCUGUGACUCCCUGCGCCAGCCGGGCUGCCACUUUUGCUGUGGCAACUGGCAUCAUGCCACCAGGUCGGGGCACAGCCCCUUGCCCUGGCUUCCUCUUCUGCCUUCCUCCUGCUCCUCCAGUUCGAGUGCAAUGCUCUCUGCCUAGCUCUGACAGCGCUGACUCGCCAGCCAGAGUCCGCUCUCAUCCCACAACGCCCAACCCUCUCACUGUGACUAGAUGGGAGGGGACUGAGAGAUGGCCAUCCCUCCGAUCAUAGAGAAAGCCCGAGGCCACCAUAGAGAGGACAGAGCAGAGGAGUGCGGGACGCUGUUUGUUUGAUUGAGGAGGCCACCAGAUGGCGCUGAGGAGAAUGUUAGAGGAAAUACAGAGUUCGCAUGUAGAAGCCGUGGAUACCGAUCCAUUUUUAGCCGAUAGGUGUUCGAUCGUGUUUUUCAGUCCACGCAUCAUAAGUAAAACCUCAUUGCCCGGAAUGGUCUUAUUUCCAACGACAUCUGUUUGGGAUUUUGGAAGGCUGAAAACUAAACUCUAUACGCCUGGAUACAUGCAUAACUAACAAGUGCAGGAAAUAGGGCUUCUAAAAAUAAACGCAUUAUUUGUCCUCUAAUAACCGGAUGCUGAGAGGAAGACAAUUAUGCGUUUCCCAAUUAUGGCAGUGUCAAGGGCUUGGCAACAUCUGAUUAAUUUAAUGCGUCAAUAAGUGCUCCCACAGAGAGAACAUAAGAACGGCCCUGCUGAAUCUGACUAAAGGCCCAUCAUGUCCAGCAUCCUGUCUCCCACAGUAGCCAACAAGAUGUUUCUGGGAAGCCCACAAGCAAGACAUGAAGGCAAUAGCCUAUUCCAAUUGCCACAGAGGAGUGAAGAGAAGGGGGUAAAAGUGAUGGCUACUCAUAGAAGGACCCUUGAUUUGGAAGCAACACGCCCUCUCCCCGCCAAAAAACUAGGAGCAAAGAAAGUAUUCCCUCGUGAUCUUUCAAAUGCAGCUUGACGGCACCGAGGCUGAGUGACUUAUGCAAAACCUUGCAUGUAACAGCCGUCUUGCGAAGAUCCAGCUCCCUUGAGAAGUCCAUAAUGCUAGGGAAAGUGGAAUGAAAAAGAAGAGGACGACCAGCAGCAAGUUGGAUGGACUUGAUUACGACAGCAGUGAAUGCACCACUGACAGACCUUAAAGGCUAAGUUGAAGCCCGAUCAUCCUGGAGAGAAUCUAUUUAUGUGGUCGCUAAGAGCUGACACCGACUUGACGGCACGGAAUCAAUCAAUCAACCAACAGCAGUCUACUGUUAACAUCCCAAUAUGGCUGGUUUAAGGUUGCGAGAGUAAUCUACAACAACCGUGCAGAGUCGACCAGUGUUCUGCUGUAUGAUGCUGUUCAUGUAGUCCAGCAUUAUUUAAACA